rnacentral:rRNA from 1 species
GACGAACGCUGGCGGCGUGCCUAAUACAUGCAAGUAGAACGCUGAAGAGAGGAGCUUGCUCUUCUUGGAUGAGUUGCGAACGGGUGAGUAACGCGUAGGUAACCUGCCUUGUAGCGGGGGAUAACUAUUGGAAACGAUAGCUAAUACCGCAUAACAAUGGAUGACACAUGUCAUUUAUUUGAAAGGGGCAAUUGCUCCACUACAAGAUGGACCUGCGUUGUAUUAGCUAGUAGGUGAGGUAAUGGCUCACCUAGGCGACGAUACGUAGCCGACCUGAGAGGGUGAUCGGCCACACUGGGACUGAGACACGGCCCAGACUCCUACGGGAGGCAGCAGUAGGGAAUCUUCGGCAAUGGGGGCAACCCUGACCGAGCAACGCCGCGUGAGUGAAGAAGGGUGUCGGAUCGUAAAGCUCUGUUGUAAGUCAAGAACGGGUGUGAGAGUGGAAAGUUCACACUGUGACGGUAGCUGACCAGAAAGGGACGGCUAACUACGUG